UACGUAGGGGGCAAGCGUUGUCCGGAAUCAUUGGGCGUAAAGCGCGUGUAGGCGGUCCGGUAAGUCGGCUGUGAAAGUCCAGGGCUCAACCCUGGAAUGCCGGUGGAAACUGUCGAGCUAGAGUCCGGAAGAGGCGAGUGGAAUUCCUGGUGUAGCGGUGAAAUGCGCAGAUAUCAGGAGGAACACCAAUGGCGAAGGCAGCUCGCUGGGACGGUACUGACGCUGAGACGCGAAAGCGUGGGGAGCAAACAGG
rnacentral:rRNA from 1 species